rnacentral:rRNA from 1 species
UACCGAGUGGCCCAAGUCCGCAAGGACCGGUUACCCGACCUCUUGUCAUUUGCUCUGGGGUCGCCGGCAAGGUUCGGCCCGCACUUCCUCCAUGUGGGGUUGGGCGGGUCGCGCCGAACUGGCGGCCUCAGCUUCGAUAACUUCGGCGGAAGCGGUAGGUUCGACCUGCCCGCCGCCGGCCGUAUUCAACCUGCAAGUAAUUUUGAAGUCUGAUUUGAAUCAUAAUGAAAAGCAAAACUUUCAACAACGGAUCUCUUGGCUCUGGCAACGAUGAAGAACGCAGCGAAACGCGAAAGGUAAUGCGAAUUGCAGAAUCAGUGAGUCAUCGAAUUUUUGAACGCACAUUGCACCCCUUGGUAUUCCGGGGGGUACGCCUGUUCGAGCGCCAUCACACACCCCAAGCUCUGCUUGAUGUUGGACGAUGCCUUGGCCCUUCUGGGCUGGGGCACGUCUGGAACCCGUGGGCGCCCCCGCCGAACCACGAGCGUAGCAAGACGCAAGUCACUCGCUUCUGUCGGUCUCGGUGGAGGGUCUGCCUUAAUCCAUUUCUGAAGAUUGGCCUCGGAUCAGGUGGGGAUACCCGCUGAACUUAAGCAUAUCAAUAAGCGGAGGAAAAGAAACCAACAGGGAUUGCCUCAGUAACGGCGAGUGAAGCGGCAACAGCUCAAAUUUGAAAUCUGGGGCCUUCGGCUCCCGAGUUGUAAUUUGUAGAGGAUGCCUCGGGGGGUGCUUCGGCCCAAGUUCCUUGGAACAGGAUACCACAGAGGGUGAGAGUCCCGUAUCCGGCCGGCAGUACCCUCCGCGCGAGGCUCCUUCGACGAGUCGAGUUGUUUGGGAAUGCAGCUCUAAGCGGGUGGUAAAUUCCAUCUAAAGCUAAAUACUGGCCAGAGACCGAUAGCGAACAAGUAGAGUGAUCGAAAGAUGAAAAGCACUUUGAAAAGAGAGUCAAACAGUACGUGAAAUUGUUGAAAGGGAAGCGUAUGGGGGCAGACUUGGCCGCGGGGUUCAGGGUGUCUUUUGGCGCCUGUACUUCCCCGUGGGCAGGCCAGCAUCGGUUUUGGGGGUUGGAUAAAGGCGUCGGGAAUGUGGCUCCCCUCGGGGAGUGUUAUAGCCCGUCGCGCAAUGCAGCCACCCGGGAUCGAGGACCGC